GUUCUGUGCUGUUUCUAGAAAGCACUGCUCCCUCCUUUCCCGCUUCUAAUGGCGAUUUACAGAGGAACUGGAGCUUUUUUUCCUUCUUUGCCUACAUGCCUGCUUGCCAUAAAAAUGAAAAUCAAGCUGAUUUUGGGAGGGAGCCUUCUGAAAUUGACAAAACUAAAAUGAAAAAGUUUGGGGAAGAAGUCUUGGAACCAGUACAUGGUUGUGGAGGUGGAAAAAAGUGUUUAUUAAAAGAAAUGCGAAACAGCGAGUCCGCAAAAAGCAAACUGCAAAGUAGCGAAGGAACACGUGGUCACUACUACUCCAGGUCCGAAAGUACCACAGCGAAGAGUCAUCACUGUGGGCACCAUGGCGGGCAUCAUCGUCGGCUGCCUGAUCGGGUCCAUCUUAGUUGUAGGCGUGAUCACGUACCACACCAUGAAACAAUCAGAAAGGUAAUAUUAAUUUAAUCUCUUGUUCUUUAUUUCCAAUGGAUCCAUCAUCUUUUGGGGGAGGAACUCAAGACG
rnacentral:lncRNA from 11 species